CGGAUCUUGGAGACACGUGUUAGAAGAAGAAGAGUUUGGGUUUCUCUUUCUCUCUCCCGAAGGAUGAGUUCGACGUUGAGUCAAUUCCAUCUCUUCCUCGGUUGAUCUCUCAUCGAUACGUUUGCUGGAAGGUCCGUCGGAAGCUCCGAGGGUGAGGAUCGGCGAGAUUCUUCUAAGUUUGGUUUGGAAUCCGUGAUCCGCCCCGUCGAUUCGAUGCCUGAUAUGGCUAAGAAACCUUCUAACAAAGGUAGAUCAACUCUCAAGCUAUCGUAGAGGAAUAACUGCUUAGAAUCUAGAGAAUCUUACGAUCUGCCUUUGGAUUCAUUCUCUUGCGGUUAAUAUUGAUCGUUGAUCAUUGUUCUGAUCUUGGAUCGCAAUGUGUUUGAGUUACUAACGUCUUCUUGUUCACUGUAAUUGUUGAUGACGGUUGGAUCAUUGUUCUAAUCUUGGAUCGCAAUGUGUUCUGAUCUUGGAUGGCUAUUUGAUUGACUUACGGAGUUCUUUAUUGUUCACUGGACUUAUUGAUGAUGGUUGGUUAGGUUACUCUAUGAUCUCUCUGAAAUUGAUAUACAUUGUGAUCAUUAUUGUACCAAUGCAGGAAUCUUUGUUAUACGGCAGACACCAAGAGAGUCCCUAAACCCUUUUUCACUGAAAUUGAUAUACUCUAUGAUCUCUCUUGAUGUCUUUAAAUGUUCAGAGUUGUCUGUUUGGAUGAUAUCUGGAGAGAGAAGAUGAAAAUGUCUACGAGGUUCAUCGUUCUGAUCACCAUGUCACCAGUGAUGAGCCUUGGAACAGCCGCGACGGAAGAAGAUGGAGCACUUGUUGCUUAGUUGUUUGGCUCUGUGGGGUAGAUGUUCAAAGCUGAUGAGAAAAUGUUUGAUGCUGUCACUGGUCUCAGUGGAAGUUGACCAGUGUACAUAUUCCUAGCCAUUGAAGCUUUAGCUGAUGGAGGAGUAGCUGUUGGUUUACCCCGAGAACUCGCACUCGGUUUAGCUUCACAGAUGGAGCAGAUUAUCCUGUCUCUCACACAGCUUUUGAUUCCUAUGAUUGGAUGAUUCACAAUGUAGAUCCGUUGUUUCAUCGUCAUGUUGCCAGUAACGCUUUGUUUUCUUCGUUAUUGUUCUAGUUUUCUCAUGGAUUCCCUUCUUUCAUCUCAUAUAUUCAUAUCUUGGUGAUUGAUUUUGUAGAAGUUAAAAGAACAAGCAUACAACAAUGUUUGAUUUUUUUUUAAGAACCUUUAACUAAGAAA